AUGAAUUUAAACGGCGCAUGCUCAGAGAAUAACACAAUAAUCACAUGGCUAUUAAUUCACAUCGUAGACUCCGUCAGGUGCUGUCAAGAAAUAUGCAAAGAAAUGGGGAAUUGUGACAGGGACUUAAGGCUUACCGACAUGACGGUGGUUUAUCCCAUAAGUUUUUGUAGAAGCUUGCGUAAAUGA